AAAAUAAGCAAAUAAUUAAUGAACCUCUUUUUUAAAGUACUUUGGCAUUCGCUAAGUAAGCCUCAGGGUUUUCAGAAGAUAUUCAUGGCCACUGCACUGCGUAUUACAAAGCAUGCCCGAGCAGACAGACCUAAUGCUCCAAGGCUGAGGUUCAGACUUCUGUGAAGGUAUGGCUGCCACAAGCACAUGCAGUCUGCCAGUGCCAAAGAAACAUGCCUCAGGAUCAAAGCUAGUUCACAGAAGCUGUUUGCCGUUGCUAGAAGAUGUGGGCAAGGUGGAGCUGGCCUACGAAAGCAAAACGCCGGGUAGGGAAACAGUUGCCAGAGGUUGCAUCCUGAACGACUGUGGAAAUGGCCAUUGUGCAGAACAAGCAUGGCCUGAGACUGUGGCUAGAGACGGCCAUGUGGGAUGCUGGGCGCCUACCCUACAUAAUCACAUGAGGACCUGAAACUGGAAGGGAAGUGCCUUUCUUCUGCUGUCACCUUGUGGCGCCUCUCCAGCUCCCUCUAUUGACAAACCUAACAUUGUGCCAGCUGGUAAAGUACUACUUUUUAGAAGGGCUAGGGCCAGUAACACAGAGUACUUCCAUGAAGGGAGAUUUAGAGCUGAGAGACAAUAAAUGUAUUGAUAACAAACAGAGCAGUGAAUAGAGUUCUCAGCUGAACCUGUGCUUGAAUCUGAAAGGCAACCAGUAAAUCUGUCUCUUGUUUGCCGACCCUUUCUAGAAACCUCCCCUUUCAAGGACAUAGGCUUGGCCACAAACAGCUAGGGAAAGCUAACUCCUUCUGGACUCAACUCUAGCGCUGGUGGGGGAGGGAUUUGAUGCUGUUUUCCCCGACAACCACUUGUUGUAUCUGUCAGUUGUGCAUGGCCCAGGCCAUGGCCUGUGAGUGUCAGAUCAGGGUCAGCUCAUGCAGCAAGCCCAAGUCUGGCCCUCUGGCCCCUCUAUCCCCUUCAACCCAGAAACUGCAGGUAAGGACACCUGUUAUGUGCAAAAGGGCAUCAGGUCCUCGUGGAGUGCCUUCUGCAGCCUCAGCAUCCAUCCUGUCACUCUCUAAAGCAUCUGUCACUUUGAAGGCCUCCUUUGCAACUGUGGCCCUUCCUCUGGAAACAGGGAUGCAAGAGCUGCUCCAGGGCUCCCAGUUAUUUGGGCAGAGGAAGAGGGAAGGCUCUCAGGACCUCCAUCAGGGACUCCCAGACAGGGCCAGCCAUGCUUGCAGAGUUUGUAGAGGACAGCUAGACCUGGUCUUAGCUCCACACUCCAAGGACUACAUCCAGGGAUCUGGUAUUGUGUACUUGUGGUGCUGGAAGUUUCCAAGCCCCACUUUCCAGAUGGGAGGACAGAGCCAGAGAAGUAAGACUGUAUCUUAGGGCCACACAUAUUUCUGAGCUCCUUAGAGCUCCUCCUGCUCUGUGAUGAUAGCUGCCCUUCCAAUAGGAGCUGAGCUGAGCCUGUUAGGAAGACUCCAGUCUUUGGCAUCAUCAGAUCUGACAUUGGACCCCAGUUCUACCCCCUUGCUAGCUACAAGAACUUGUUUAAAUUACUUAACCUCCUAGCCUCAAAUUCCUCAUGGAUUUAUUUAUUGCUAAGGAUUAAAUAAAACAAUCUGUGUAAAAUCCCUAA